rnacentral:rRNA from 1 species
AACGAACGCUGGCGGCGUGGCUAAGACAUGCAAGUCGAACGGACUGCUCAAUUUAUUGGACAGUUAGUGGCGAAAGGGUUAGUAACGGAUGGGUAACGUACCCUGUGCUUUGGGAUAGCGUCAUCCCGACUUCGGUCGGGAUUUCCGAAAGGGGCGGUAAUACCAAAUAAUAUCAUUUGUCUAUAGGCGGAUGAUCAAAGAUUUAUCGGCAUAGGAGCGGCCUGUUUCCUAUCAGCUUGUUGGUGAGGUAAUGGCUCACCAAGGCAGCGACGGGUAGCGGGACUGAGAGGUUGGCCCGCAACAUCGGGACUGAGACACUGCCCGGACCUCCACGGAGGGCUGCAGUAACGAAUAUUGUGCAAUGGGCGAAAGCCUGACACAGCGACGCCGCGUGUAGGAGGAAGUCCUUCGGGAUGUAAACUACUGUCAGGGGGAAGAAAGUGCGCUUCGGCGCAUUGAUCUAACCCAAAGAAGUCACGCUAACUU